AGCGGGGUGGGGGUCGGGGAAAACGCGGUUAAAGCGCAAGCGCAGAAGAGGCCGCUCCCGGUCGUCGGGACUAGAGCAGUGGGUGCCUUGGUGUCCUUGCACACCCGUGGGUUUUGACACCGUCUGUGCGUGUUUAUGUAUACGUACACGUGCGGAUUUACAUUAAUAUGCGGCAUAAGUACUGCCCAAUUUGUCCUUCCUCUAGCCGUCCCCACUUAACGCUGAGAGAAGCAUUUCUAGGCAUGGUUCACGCUUCUUGCAUUUUUUUUUUUCUUUGAACUGAAAACGAAAGAAACUCCUCGUUUCUUGAGUGGUUUCUGUAGCGGGGCUGAAACCGGAACGCCCAGCCUCUUUCGGUGAGGUGGGUGAGUCAGUAGUCCGCCCAUUUUUCACCCUGGGAACCAAGGCCAGCGAAGAGGACUCUUCUACAAAUAAAAUGCACUUGUUAGGAAGAAGAAUUUCUGUUGGCAAUACAAGGAAGGAAGAACAGUUUUGCCUUCACUUGGACUUUGACCAAAGGACAUUAGAAGCCUUGGCAUGAGACCCAAAUGAAGGGAACCUUAAUUACAGAAACCAGUCAAAUACUUCACUCAAGGGUCUAUAUGCUCUGAGAGUCUGGGAAGAGAGUGCAGUGCAAAUGAAGAGAACCAGAUUUCCCACGCUUUGGUGAGCAGGGAGAAGACACCCAGUGAGAGACAUUUCCAAUCCUUCUCUUCCCACUGCUGAGACUGGGCAAAAGGGUGCUGCUGUCCAUAGACCGUGUCUGUCCUGCCCGGAGACUGAUGGCAAGUGUUCUGUUGUUUCUAUCCUUCCCAGCACUGUCUGGAUUUGAUUCUCCCCCCUCCACCCCAUGUAGGUCAUGGAGUCUGAACUUAGGGUGGGGACCUAAGUAUUAGAAAAUGGGGAGCCCAUUGACUCUUGGUCCAAGAGUUAUCUAGUCCAGUAAUGCUGAUGUACACACACGCACUUGCACACACACAUACAUGCACACACAAUGCAGGCUCAUUGUCACACAGUUCAAAAUUGAAAAGGCACAAAAGGGCAGAGAGUGAAGUCUUCCAGCAUUCCUGUUCUCCCAGCUUCUUAGUCCCCCCUGUAGAGUUAACCAGUGUUUGCAGUGUCUUAUAUGUCCUUCCAGACAUACUUUAUAAGUACAUUAGCAAAUAAUACAUACAAACGUAUGCACAUACACCUUGUGGUUUUUUCAUCUUUUUAAAUGGCUGCAGAGUAUUUCAUUGAAUGAAUUUCCACAAUUAAUGAGUCCCAUCUGGAUGGGCAUCUGGUAGUUUCCAGUCUUUUUCUACUAUAAAAAAAAUAAAAUUGACGUUUAGUCCUCAAAUCUUAUGUUUAUUUCCCAAAAGCUCAGUACUCAGAGGGGAGAGGAGUGUGGUCUGCACUUUACAUGGCACGGUAUUUAAAGUCCUGGACCACUGAGUCAAACAUGUCCAGGCUUGCACUUUUGUUCUAAUUCUCUCCAAUGUGCCAUCAUGCAGAGAAUUAUGCUGUGAGUUCUGGUGUUCAAUAAAUUAGGUAAGUUUAUUCUUUUCUUUCUCCUCUCUGCCUACAUCCUCCUCCAACCCAAGGGUUUGUUUGUAACCAGAGUGCCUUUCCAGCAAGUGGUGCCCCCAAGCUCCUAAUACUUAAAGCACUGAAUUCCCUCCAUUUCUGUAGAAUGUGAUAAUUGGCAAAACACCUUCAUAUAACAUUCUUUCCUUUGAUUCUUAUGCAAAUUUUCUAAGGACAUUUUCUAGAUGAAGAAACUGAGGCUCAGAAGGACUAUGUGGCUUGCCCAUGGUCACCUAAUUGAUGAGUGACAGGCACAAAACUUGAAGCUAGAUCAUCUAAUAUCAGCCUACUUCUUUCUAAUACACACAUGAACCCCUUUGCCAUAUAUGUGACAUCAGAAUCAGUGGGAAGUUUGGAAUAUGGUGGGAGACUGGAGUUCUAGCAAAUUCACCCCCAAAUUUCAUUUCCAUCAGCAGAUAUAUAGAGACUAUUCAGACAAGAAGAAUUAUGGACUAAUUUACCGGCAUCGAUAGAAUAUCCACUGAGGUAGUUCACAACAUGAUGAGGGCAUUGCCAGUUGUCCAGGCAGUGGGAGGAAGUAUGGUGGGAGAAGUACCAGGGCUGGAAACCUUUGAUCUUGAAGUACAGGUUUAAUGUGGAAGUCAGGGCAUAGGCUUGCAAGACAGGGGACAGGAAGAGAGGCAAAGAAUGCAUGCAGAUCAAGUGUCUGCUGUGCUAUGCUCACCCAUUAAUCACUCACCAAACUUGGGAAGGAUCCAUGCAGAGGUAUGACAAGGGUGCCCUCGUUUUCUCAUUGAGUGACAGUGUGGGGUGAUGGUGGUGCUGGAGUGGUGGGACUAUCUCUACUCCACCCAACAGGUAGGGGGAGUUUCCCAGGGUGGCAAGGGGCUGUGUAACUGGUGACACCUAGUGCGGAGUGGUAGACACCAAACUUGUCACAACAUCCUCCCUCCAGGAAGGAAGGACUCAGGUCAAGCUCAUAUAUGUGGCUCUUUCCUCUCUUGGAUACAUUUUCUUCCAGCUCCUAGGAGCUCAGGCUUCUGGCAGUUUUAUGCAUCUGGUCGCUAGGCAUCUUCAGAUGUGCCACUUCUGCUGCGGUGUCUGAACAAGAUCCAGUGCCACUGCCCCAAGGUGGCAGGGAUGUGGAAGAAGACAGGAGCACUGGACACACUCCUGAAGGGGAAAGGGGAGCUUUCCAGGGGCCACCAUUGAGACAGACACAGGACACAGAGGUAGGGGCUGGGUUAUUACAGGCUCAGAUGCUAUGCCAAGGGCUUAGGAAAUUAUUCUAGAGGCAGAGGGAAUCAUGAAAGAACUUUGGGGAAAGGAAUAACAAGAUUAAGUAUGCAUUUGAGAGACACCACUCCAUCAGCAAUUCACUCAUUUGUUCCCUGAACACUGAGAGCACACACUAUGGAUCCCACCCCUGAAUUCAUAUGUUGUAGCCCUAACCUCCAGUGUGAUGGUAUUUGGAGAUGGGGCCUUUAGGAGGAAGUAGGUUUAGAUGAAGUCACAAAGGUAGGGCCUUCAUGAUAUUUCUGUCCAUAUGGGAAGAGACUCCAGAGAGCUUGUGUUCUCACUCUCUCCCCAGAAUUGUGUACAAAGGUGGCCGUCUACAAGCCAGAUAGUAGGUCCCCACCAGGAACUGAUCAGGCUGGCACCCUGGUCUCUCCAGAAACAUCUGUUGUUUAAGCCACCCUGUCCAUGGUACUUCAUUAGGGCAGCCCGAGCCAAUGGAGACAGCACACAACCAGGUGGCUGGCACUAUCUUGGCUCUGGAUAUCCAGCAGUGAACCAAGAGUCCUCAUCCUCAUGGAGGUUGCAGUCUAGUUGGGGAGGAGAGGGAGGCAUGGCAUGAACAAUGCACAUAAGACAUUUGCAAUUACUUUUAUGAAAGAGAGUAAUGGGGCCUUAUUUAGACUGGGGAAAAUGGGGGAGGACUUCCUGAGGACAUGACUUUCAACCUGAGACCCUGAGGAUGAGUCGAAGAGAGUCAGGAAUGGGCAGAGAAAAGAACAUCCCAGGCUUGGGAAGGGCAUGUGUAAAGCUCUUGGAUGAGAAAGGGCUUGGUGAGUAACUGACAAGACACAAAUGUCACCAGAGGAGAAGAGUCACGUAAAAUAAGACUGGGAGCUGUUAUGGGAUAGUACACUUAGGAACUUGGUGGUCUUGUUAAGAGUUUUAGAUUUAGGGGCACCUGGGUGGCUCAGUUGGUUAAACAUCAGACUCUGGCUCAGGUCAUAAUCUCACAGUUUAUGAGUUUGAGCCCACUUCAGGUGAGCCCCACUUCUCUUUCUCUCCUUCUCUCUCUCUCCCUCUUUGACCCUCGUGGGAUUCUCUCUCUCUCUCAAAAACCAAAAAAAGUUUUAGAUUUAUAUUCUUAGUGCAUUGAUGAGCCAUUAUAAGGUUUAAAUGAAAUGAAGUGAUCCAAUUUUCAUAUUUAAAAGAUGACUCUGAAUAAUAUGAGCAUCAGAUUGGAGGGAUGUCAAACAGAAUGAGACAGGCCUAUUCUGAGGGAUGUUGUAGCCAUCCUAGGGGUAUGAUGACCCUGAGCAGCAGUGGGAGUAGAGGGGAGUGGUUGCAUUUGGGGGCCAGUGGAUAGGAUGGGUGGGAAGAAGGAGAAACAGAGGAUAGGUCGUAGUCACAGCAGCUGGGAGGAAGAGGGUGAGUUUGAGGACACUGAGUCUGGUGGAAGUUGGAAACACAAGGGGCUGUGUUUCAGGAGCCAGCUCCAGCCAGAAAGCAGUGACUACAGCAGGCCUUCCACUGCUGUCCUUAGAAAGACCUGAUUGCACGGUGGGCCCUUGGCUGGUGUCUGAGAACUUGGCUCUCAGAGUGUCCCAGUCAACAGUUGACUGAUAAGGCCAGUUCCCUGUGGCUAGACUGUGCAGACAAUAUGAUUUAUGCUGAACACCUACUUUUCUUCUGGAAGUCUAGAAUUUUUGUACGUGCUAGGCAUAGGUAGCUUAGUAGACUGGCCACCAAUUAAAACAUUGGGCACUGAGUCUCUCACGGGCUUCCCCAAGCAGAAACAUCACACACAUGUUUUAGAGAAAGACUAUGCUUUGUGUAUCCCCUCAUGGAGGAAGAGAGCACAAAGAAGCCUCAUGUGGAUUCUUCCAGACUCUGACUGUGUCUUUGUCCCUUAUAAUUCAGCAGUGUCUCUGCAAGAAACCUCAGUCAUGAGAACAGCUACAAGCUAAGUCCUGUGAGUUCUUCAGUGUGUUUCCAAAUGUGGGGUGGUCUUGGGGACCCCUGACACAGCCUCAGGAUUUAAAUUUGGAAGUGAUCAGCAUGCGGAAAAAACUGAAACAAUGGGAGCAUAUGAGAUCACCCAGGAAGACUGAAGACUGAGUAGAACCCUGAGGAUCUCCACAACUAUGAAGGAGGGCCAGAACUCAGGCAGUAGGAGAGAGGAAUGUCUGCUGAAUUUAGCACAAGGUCAUUGACAACCUUGGCAAGUCAGUCCCUGUGGGCAGUUGUGGAGAGAGCUGGAUUAUUAGAGGAUGAGGGGGAGAGCAAUUCUCCCAAGCUUGACUACAGAAGGAGCAGAGAGGGACGUGGGGGGUGAUGUAAAUGUAUUGAGGUAGGAAAAAACUUGAUCAUUUGUUUCUUCAUUUAUAAGGUGCUUGCUUUAUGUAAGCCAACACAACACUGCUGUGGGUCCAGCAGAGAAAACAGGAAGGACUCCCAGUGUGCUGCAUAUUUGAAAUGUGAACUGCACAAUGCCAUGAAGGUGUUUAAUCCAGCGUGGGGGCUUCUUUGAGGAAGUGACCUUGACUCUGGAGCUUGAAGAAUAAGUAGGAGUUUGUUGAAGUGAGGAGAAGAGGAAAGGGAAAAAGGACUUUUCAGGACAAGGGAAUAAUGCAGAUGGAUGUCCAGAGGGAAUGAAGAGCGCACACUGAGCGAGGGGAGUGUGAAGAGAUAGGGCUGCAACAUGGCAGCAGCAAGAUGAGGCAGUGCCUUCAGACUCUCAUGGGAAGGAAGCAGCAGACAGGUAGAAGCUAAAUCUACAGGAGAGGGCUUGAAAAGAUGGAGAGCUGUGGUUUCCAGAAAGAAUUAAUUCUGAUAGUAGGGAAAUACCUUGUCAUGUAACAGAAACAGGAAGAAAGGAUGAGUUUUAAAAGAACAGGUAUAGCCAUAGGUAAGGCCUUAGGAUUGGUGGCAAGAAAUUGAGCAUUCUUGUAUGAUGGCUUUCAUUUUUUUGUAGGGUAUGUUUUUCUCCCCUCCCACCCAUCCCCUUUCUUGAGAUCUAGCAUAUUUUGAGGCUGAGGAAAUAGAAGGGGCCUUUGGUAAAUAACUCCAGGUGGAGAAGAGGGGGACAUUCUUUUAGCAUUACAGCACAUCAGAGAUAGGCUAGCAGGAGGCCAAAGUUAGUGUGGUGGAGUCUAUUGUCUUUAAGAUAUAUUAUCCUUGGACCUAUCCCUGUGAGGGCUUUUUCCUUCUUCACCUCCUCCACCCUUGAGAUCUGAAGCUCCAUGAGCGGUGACUCUACAUGGAAUGGAAUGACUGAUAAAUCCCGCCAGGGGCCAAGCCCAAGAAAAGGCAUUUCUCUGGAUAGAAAAGGCACCUACUCUGUGGAGAACAGAGAGGUCAACAAGGAUGAUGGGAUGGGGAAAUUGAGCCAUAUGUGAGUCCUGGAUGUCUAGACUUGAUAUGCCAUGACCUUUGGAAGAGUUGAGAGAUUAAUUUAAUAAGGUAGAGAGAUUAUCUUCUGUAUCUUCACCUUCCUGUAGACUUGACAGCAAUUGGAAUAUAGCUUCUGAAUCCAAAAUAAGGUAGAAUUCUAAUGUUCCUUUAGAUUCAUGUCUGUACCUUGACCUGUUAAUUGUGAGACUGUCCUCUCUCUCCCUUCUAUCAUGGGAGAUGCAGUUUUGGGUACCACUUGGUAGUAGGAGGUAAGGUCAUAUACUCAUAGUAAGGGGAAAUGUGGUAGGAUCAUGAGUUUUAGGACAGUGGAGAGAGUGUAGAAGAAGCCUGCUUAGGUUGCUGGUCAGAAUUUCCACUGGGGCCCCAAACUCUUUAGUGGUACCUGUGUGAUUUCCCUCAGUGUUGUGGAGCCUGGUUGUUAACAUGAUGAUGGGCAUGAAGCAGACAGUUGAGGGGUUCUGGAGUGAGGCUCUGCUUGUUGAGCUCCACGGAAUGCCAAUGGGACAAGGAAGUUGGGGCUGUUAGGCAAGACUGAAGUGGAGGUGAGGGAACAUGGAAUCUAAAGCAGCACAAGGAAAGACAAAGUGGAGACAGAGGAGAAAUAAAGACACAGGAAUGUGUAUAUAAGGAGGUAGUCAAAGAUCUGGGGGUCCCUUGAAUAAAUUUAAUGGGAGCUGGUGAGAGAUCUGGAAGGAUAGGAAAUUGUGGUCGGUAGUAGGAUAUUUAAGUUUAUGACUUCAGAGAUGGAGAAGUUCUGAGUAAUAAGCAUGUUCAGGAUGUGGCCUUGGGAGGGCCCACAUUGACCCUUGUCAUCACUGGACCCUCUCCCUGAUCCCAUGUUCACAUGGCUUUUCUCCCUCCUUUCAGCCUCUGAUGUGCCUCCUACCUCAGCCUACCCCUUUCCCACUUUCUGGUCCAGCAAGAGGAACUCACAGCAUCUUUUCUUCCAGAGAAAUUCAUUCCACAUGUGUCUGAUUCAUUUGCGUUUACUGAAACUCAAAAUCUCCAGUGUCCAAAAACUCUUUCAACUGUUUUUUCCCCUGCCCUUUCUUAGAAACAGGAAGUUGUGUUUGGCUGAGGACAAAGUCUUCCAGUGCCCUUGGGACUUACAAGAUGUUUGGGAAUGAGGAACGGUGAGGUCUGGGGAAGGCUUCUUUAUUCUCUCCUUUCCUGGGGCAAGGGUGUAUCUGUCUGUGGUAGCCUGGGCAGCUCAUGGGGAUGGAAGACUAGCCAUAACUUUCCUGUCUCUUCCCACUGAGCCCAAGACCUGAGGGAAAGCAUGUUCUAAAAGAGACAGGUGGCUUUGAAUGCUCCUAUAUUUCUCUUUCCCUGCACUGGCAUCUACUGUUCAGAAUAUACUUGGAUGUUGGUUCUCACCUUUCUCUUCCCAACACUUGGACAGUGUCUUUGAGGAGCUUUUCAAUCUAGUUUUUGAGGGGUGUGGGCUGGCUGGCACUCAAUUUUAAGUGAGAAAGGCCAACUGUAUCUUCAGUGGGAUCUCAGAGAAACUCUCCAUCUGAAGAAGAAUGAACCAGACUGUGAAGGGGCACGUCUAUUGUGAUAAGUCUGCCCAGGUUGUUGGCAAGCGUUAGCCUAGAAAGCAGACAGGUGCCUGGGAAAGGCUGAUGGAGUGCCAGUGAGGCAAGGAAAGCAUGGAGGUCACAACACCAGCACUCUGCUCACUCAGCGCUCCAACAUUUAGCUCCCCUGAAGCGUGUUAUUUUGUGCCAUCUAGAAUUUUUUCAGAUGUAAGGCAAAUAUGCCCACAAUAUAUCACUUGAGUGAUUAUUGAGUGAACCAGCAAAAAUGUCAGCUUAGGUGAGUGACUUCUGUCUCUCACAGUCCAUAGGCAGCUUUCUUGAAGGACCACAGGAAAACACGCUGUGCCAGAAGGCAGCUUCUCAUAGAUAUACUGUCCUGCAGCCAAGGGCCACUAAAAGAGAGCAAACCCAUUUGUGUUUCUCAAGGGCAGGAGUACAGCUGUGUCCCUCUCUUCCUCUGUCUCCUGACUGAACUGCACCCAUGGGCAGUGCCUUGGGGUGCAGCAUGCUGGAUGGAUACACUUCCCUUUACUUAGGGCAUCCCUUCCCACUCUACACAGAGCAGAUCAGGGCGGAGAAGGACAGGUGUCAGGGGCAGUAGCUUAAUCUUGCCUAAGAUGUUGCCUUCCUCGUCUUCCUUCCUCAUGCUUAUCCCACCUCAUGUUUUGUUUUGGCUGCAUGUUCAGUAAUCUGGCUUCGAUGGACUGAAGAGGCACAAGGAAGUGAUAAGGCUGUGGUAGCUGAAACCUGGAAACCUGAGGGUGAUACUACAUUUGAUUCUCUUUGGUAGAUUCCAUAUUUCUUUCACUCUUACAAACAACUCCUCAUUUCCAACAGUGAAAGGGACACGGCUGCUUACUGGAGGGGCUUGGUGAUCUGAGGCAGAGCAUGUAGAGAGCAGAGAUUGCUGUGGGCUCACAAGCCUCUUUUCCUACGACCAGGGGAGACUCAGACCCUGGGAGUCCUGGGCUAUGUGUGAAAGCAUAUCGCCUUACCACUUUACAGUCUCAAGAAUGCAGUGGUGACAAAGCCUCUCUAAUUGCCCUGGACCAGAAGUUGAAAGUAUCAAGACCAAGAAAAAGCCAACAUAUGCUUAAAAAUUUUCCUAUUUUUCAUGUCUUUUUUUUUUUUUUGGUUGUCGGUGGGGAGGCCUGGAAAAAAUGAAGAAGGAUCCAGAGGAAAGCAAGAAGAACUAUAUGUUUGGAUGUGUGGAAAGAAGAACAGUCCUUAUUAUGAGGGCCCACCGGUUAAAAACCCCAAACACAAAGAACCUAGUGAACAUAUCAGAGGGACAAGAUGUGGGGUUAGUGGGAAGAUGGUCCCAUUGUCCCUGGACAAUGUUCCCGGGAGGGGGAUGGUUUGCUAAAGUGGGCUGGGGAACAAUAAUGUUGCAUAGUUUUAUAAAUGCACAAAUCCCUCUGGUCAGCUACAGGGGAAUAAAGGGCAGAGAAUAAACCCCAGGCAAGGAUUCACUUACAUUAAAGAUGAAAGAAAUGAACUUUGAUGCUAAUGUACCACCUCUGAAAUAUUUCUGGCAGGUGUUCAGAGGAUCCAGAUGAAUGACCAAGCUACCUGCCGCGUCAGGGCCUUAGGGACUUUAGCAAACACUAGUACCAGUUUCCAUCAGGAGCACUAGCAGGAAAACACAAACUCUCAGCAGAGGAAAUGCAGUCUUCCCUUCUCGGGGCUCCAAGGGUGGUUGAGGUUGGCCAGGGGAAAUAAUGGUGUGGUCUCUCACUGCAGAUCUAUUUUCUGAGUCCCUGCACUGCAGCUGUUGAGUUUCCAGACACAAACAAGUAUGUAUUCUGUGAGCCUGGCCGAGCCCACACAGCAAGGAAGAGCCAAGCUGGAUUCCAUUCUGCUUUGCACAUCGGCAGCUCUGCUGCCAGCUGAACUCCAGGGCAAACGCAGUCCCUGCUGCGUAGGGUUGGCACAGCUGGACUGCUCUGGGCAGCGCAUGGGGGACACGCUUGGCUUUGCUUAUUCUAGGGAGGGUGAGAAAUGGAAGGAGAUGAGGAGUUGCAGAAACAUACAUCAGUCUCAACAAAACUGGUGCAUGGCAAGGAAGAAUCUGGUUUUACUAGCCGUCAUCGACAUGCCUGUGUGUGUGCUUGUUUAUGUUUAGGUAAGCCUGGCCUCCCCCUCACUAGAGUCAGCAGAUAGGGAGAAAGUGGUUAACUCCAUGUGGAGCUGUGCACCACACGGAGCUGACCAGCAGCGACCUGCUGAGGGCACUGUAGGGGCCAGAAUCCAAUUUAUUUCGUUUCCCGCUCCCAGGGCGAGUCCUCCCAGAGGGCACCGUUUCCUCACUCACACCAGGGCUCCCUAUAGCAUCCUCUCUGCCCAUGUCACUAGUUAUUUGAGUGAGUCUUGAGAGAAAGCAAAAGGGAGGGACAAAGGGGUCAAAGUGAUGAAAAAUGGAAGAUGCGAAUUUAUAUGUGUUCCUUCUUUUCACUACAAUGUCACUUCUUGAUGUCGUCUGUUUCAUUGUACCCAUUAAUGAGCAAGGACUGAGUUCCCUCUACACUAGACCAUAUGGAAGACUGAACCAGGAAGAGGUGAGGAGAGACAGAGUGGAAGGUGGGAUUCUGGGGCUCUCAGGUAGGGUUUAGGUAGCAGGUGGGAGAUGCAGUUCCAUGUAGAAAGGGCUGAUUGGGACCAUUGCAAGUUGUUGGGGCCAGGAGAGUGGUGAGGUGGAGAUAAAGUCUGAUGUGGAGAGAAGGCACUGAGGUCGUUGGGAUGACAGUGCUUAGAUAUGGGUUCAGCUUUCCUCAGGUCCGCAGAGAAUCUGGUAUCUCUGGCUGGUCAGUAUAUCAAAGGGAGGCUGUGUAUGUUUGCAGAAUGGAAUGGGAUAGUCUUUCUCAAGAAUAAUGAACCCAGAGGCAUCUCACAGCCACUGUUACCUCAGAGUUGGAUAUUUCCACCAGAGCAGUGGUUCUCAAACCAGCAGUCUCCACAUCACCUGGGAACUUGCUGGAAAUGCAGAUUCUCAGGUCCCCUCUCUAACCCACUGAAUCAGUAACACUUGGGGUAGGGCCCAGAAAUCUGCAUUUUAAGAAUCCCUCUGGAUGCCUGCUCGAAUUUGAGAAUGACUGGUCUAGAUUAUGAUGAAGAGUUGCCUGAAUGAGCUGGAUUCAGCAAGAGGAAGGCCUGAGAGACCC